rnacentral:rRNA from 1 species
UACGUAGGGACCAAGCGUUGUUCGGAUUUACUGGGCGUAAAGGGCGCGUAGGCGGUCAGCACAAGUCAGUUGUGAAAUCUCCGGGCUUAACUCGGAAAGGUCAACUGAUACUGUGCGACUAGAGUGCAGAAGGGGCAACUGGAAUUCUCGGUGUAGCGGUGAAAUGCGUAGAUAUCGAGAGGAACACCGAUGGCGAAGGCAAUCCCCUGGGCCUGCACUGACGCUCAUGCACGAAAGCGUGGGGAGCAAACAGG